GGUCAAACAUUAUUCUUGAUGUCUCUGCAAGACUGUUUUGGGGGUGAAAUUAACAGGCAAGUUGGUGAGCUUUGGUGAAGCAAACAACCUUACAUGAUGUGAGUGGUCCUUGUGCCCAGUUGAAGCCAUGCACUGUGCACUGGAGAGGCAGAGCAUCCUGCCUUCCACAGCCGUGCACACCAGUCCCUGUGCACAAGUGGCCACCCACCCAGCGAAUCGACGUGGUGUGCUUAUCAAAAUCUGUGUGUCUGUGGGCCAGAGCCAAAUCCAGGAUAUUGACGGAUGUCCUUACUGGUAAGGCUGUCUGGGACUCUCAGUGAAAAGACCGGCCAUGUGUGCCUCCAGAUGGUACUAGAUCCAGGUGCUAGAACAAGAUGAGCAAGUGAAUCUCUCAUACUUCAGAUCCUUCAAGGAUCUUGAAAAGAGCGCUGGAAUCAAAGGCGAACGCCACCACUGCCCGGCCUUGUUUUGUUUUUAAAGACAGUUUUCGGCACACAGAGAGGCUGUGAGUUAGGACGGGGGUUUCUUGCCGUUGCCACCAUUCUCAUUGACACGUUAUGCUGCACACAGCAGAGCCCCAUCCUGAAUGCCCAGCGGUGCCCACAGCCAGGAGGAGCAUUCGAUGUGUGAUGACUCAUCUCGUGCAUCAGACGCUCUCUAAAGUUCCCACAGAUUAUACCAUGGCUUAGUGAGUGCGAUUCUAAGACAGUUCCAAAAGACUUUUCAAUCCGUGGGAGUUUCAAAGUGGAUUCUCAGACAAACAUGGGGAGGACUGAGGCAGGCUUGGACACGCACAGAAUCAGACAACGAUGGGCUGAGGAAGUGGCUCAGCGGUUAAGAGCACUGUCUGCUCUUCCAAAGGUCCGGAGUUCAAAUCCCUGCAACCACAUGGUGGCUCACAACCAACUGUAAUGAGAUCUGGCGCCCUCUUCUGGAGUGUCUGAAGACAGAUACAGUGUACUUACAUAUAGUAAAUAAAUAAAUCUUAAAAAAAAAAAAAA
rnacentral:lncRNA from 1 species